rnacentral:rRNA from 1 species
GACGAACCGUGCGAACGUUGUUCGGAAUCACUGGGCUUAAAGGGCGCGUAGGCGGUCUGCCAAGUCCGGGGUGAAAGCCCCCAGCUCAACUGGGGAAGUGCCUUGGAUACUGGCGGACUCGAGGGAGGCAGGGGUUGUGGGAACUUCCGGUGGAGCGGUGAAAUGCGCAGAUAUCAGGAGGAACACCGGUGGCGAAGGCGGGUCUCUGGGCCGAUACUGACGCUGAGGAGCGAAAGCGUGGGGAGCGAACAGG